rnacentral:rRNA from 1 species
UGGGGAAUUUUGGACAAUGGGCGCAAGCCUGAUCCAGCCAUGCCGCGUGCGGGAAGAAGGCCUUCGGGUUGUAAACCGCUUUUGUCAGGGAAGAAAUCUUCUGAGUUAAUACCUCGGGAGGAUGACGGUACCUGAAGAAUAAGCACCGGCUAACUACGUGCCAGCAGCCGCGGUAAUACGUAGGGUGCAAGCGUUAAUCGGAAUUACUGGGCGUAAAGCGUGCGCAGGCGGUUUUGUAAGACAGAGGUGAAAUCCCCGGGCUCAACCUGGGAACUGCCUUUGUGACUGCAAGGCUUGAGUGCGGCAGAGGGGGAUGGAAUUCCGCGUGUAGCAGUGAAAUGCGUAGAUAUGCGGAGGAACACCGAUGGCGAAGGCAAUCCCCUGGGCCUGCACUGACGCUCAUGCACGAAAGCGUGGGGAGCAAACAGGAUUAGAUACCCUGGUAGUCCACGCCCUAAACGAUGUCAACUGGUUGUUGGGAAGGUUCCUUCUCAGUAACGUAGCUAACGCGUGAAGUUGACCGCCUGGGGAGUACGGCCGCAAGGUUGAAACUUAAAGGAAUUGACGGGGUCAUAGCUGUUUUCC